rfam:Struthio camelus australis contig20067, whole genome shotgun sequence.
CCUUCGAUAGCUCAGCUGGUAGAGCGGAGGACUGUAGAGGCGCCGCCCGCCCGCGGGAAUCCUUAGGUCGCUGGUUCGAUUCCGGCUCGAAGGA